GCGUCGGUGGCAGAGUGGUCAAUUGCAUCAGACUGUAAAUCUGACGGGCUUCGCCCUACGGGGGUUCAAAUCCCUCCCGGCGCA
rnacentral:tRNA from 1 species